CCUACGGGAGGCAGCAGUGGGGAAUAUUGGGCAAUGGCGGAAACUCUGACCCAGCAACGCCGCGUGAAGGAUGAAGGUUUUCGGAUUGUAAACUUCUGUCGCGAGGGAUGAAGAAUGACGGUACCUCGUAAGAAAGCCCCUGCCAACUACGUUCCAGCAGCCGCGGUAAUACGUAGGGGGCGAGCGUUGUCCGGAAUGACUGGGCGUAAAGGGAGUGGAGGCGGGCAACUAAGUUAGGUGUGAAAGCCCGCGGCUCAACCGCGGAAUUGCACAUAAAACUGGUAAGCUGGAGUGAAGGAGAGGUACGUGGAAUGCGCGGUGUAGCGGUGGAAUGCGUAGAUAUCGGGAGGAACACCAGAGGCGAAGGCGACUUACUGGACUGUAACUGACGCUGAGGCUCGAAAGCGUGGGGAGCGAACAGGAUUAGAUACCCCGGUAGUC
rnacentral:rRNA from 1 species